ACGUGAGUAACCUGCCCUUGACUCUGGGAUAAGCCUGGGAAACUGGGUCUAAUACCGGAUAUGACCUUCCAUCGCAUGGUGGUUGGUGGAAAGCUUUUGUGGUUUUGGAUGGACUCGCGGCCUAUCAGCUUGUUGGUGGGGUAAUGGCCUACCAAGGCGACGACGGGUAGCCGGCCUGAGAGGGUGACCGGCCACACUGGGACUGAGACACGGCCCAGACUCCUACGGGAGGCAGCAGUGGGGAAUAUUGCACAAUGGGCGCAAGCCUGAUGCAGCGACGCCGCGUGAGGGAUGACGGCCUUCGGGUUGUAAACCUCUUUCAGUAGGGAAGAAGCGAAAGUGACGGUACCUGCAGAAGAAGCGCCGGCUAACUACGUGCCAGCAGCCGCGGUAAUACGUAGGGCGCAAGCGUUAUCCGGAAUUAUUGGGCGUAAAGAGCUCGUAGGCGGUUUGUCGCGUCUGCCGUGAAAGUCCGGGGCUCAACUCCGGAUCUGCGGUGGGUACGGGCAGACUAGAGUGAUGUAGGGGAGACUGGAAUUCCUGGUGUAGCGGUGAAAUGCGCAGAUAUCAGGAGGAACACCGAUGGCGAAGGCAGGUCUCUGGGCAUUAACUGACGCUGAGGAGCGAAAGCAUGGGGAGCGAACAGGAUUAGAUACCCUGGUAGUCCAUGCCGUAAACGUUGGGCACUAGGUGUGGGGGACAUUCCACGUUUUCCGCGCCGUAGCUAACGCAUUAAGUGCCCCGCCUGGGGAGUACGGCCGCAAGGCUAAAACUCAAAGGAAUUGACGGGGGCCCGCACAAGCGGCGGAGCAUGCGGAUUAAUUCGAUGCAACGCGAAGAACCUUACCAAGGCUUGACAUGGACCGGACCGCCGCAGAAAUGUGGUUUCCCCUUUGGGGCCGGUUUACAGGUGGUGCAUGGUUGUCGUCAGCUCGUGUCGUGAGAUGUUGGGUUAAGUCCCGCAACGAGCGCAACCCUCGUUCUAUGUUGCCAGCGGUUCGGCCGGGGACUCAUAGGAGACUGCCGGGGUCAACUCGGAGGAAGGUGGGGACGACGUCAAAUCAUCAUGCCCCUUAUGUCUUGGGCUUCACGCAUGCUACAAUGGCCGGUACAAAGGGUUGCGAUACUGUGAGGUGGAGCUAAUCCCAAAAAGCCGGUCUCAGUUCGGAUUGGGGUCUGCAACUCGACCCCAUGAAGUCGGAGUCGCUAGUAAUCGCAGAUCAGCAACGCUGCGGUGAAUACGUUCCCGGGCCUUGUACACACCGCCCGUCAAGUCACGAAAGUUGGUAACACCCGAAGCCGGUGGCCUAACCCC
rnacentral:rRNA from 1 species